GUCCCUGUAGCUCAGCUGGAUAGAGCAAGAGCCUUCUAAUCUCUAGGUCGCGAGUUCGAAUCUCGCCGGGGGCACCG
rnacentral:tRNA from 3 species